AAAUAAAUAGACAGAAAGAAAACCCCAACACAAGCUAAAUUGCGAGACACACCGAUAGGUUGUUGUCGUCGUAUGCAUGCGAGAAAAUACACGCGUGCUCUGACGCAUUCGUGAAUAUCUUAACACAUACACACACACACACACACACACACGUACAUACAUAACUCUAUACAAACAUACGCACAAAACACCUCUCGAAGACGGUUGAGCAAAACUAGCGGAUUAAAAAUUAUAUAUAUUCAAAUGCAUAACAUAUAUGCAUACAUAUAUACCUGCAUUUGAACACCUGAAAGGAAUACAGCUGGGUGCGCGUGUAUGCAUGCAUAUAUAUAUAUAUAUAUAUAUUUAUAUAUAUUUAUGUGUGUGUGUGUGUGUGUGUAUAUGCAUUAUGCAUACAUAAACAGGCUAGCAGGGAGUCUCACUGAUGUACGUUCAAGGCUAUGCUUUGCUGAUUGGUGAUUAAACAAUUCAGAGACGCCAUCCGCACCGCAGAAAAAACACAAUAGGUUUUUGCAAGUGCUCUGAGUCAAAGUAAAAGCGUUACCAAUGGCAAGAAUUUCUGAAAGAGGAACAACGAAAUAACGAAAACCGAAGAAAGACAACAGCUGAUCAACAACAAAGAUAACAAAAGCGGCAAAAAAGGAAAAA